GAGUUUGAUCAUGGCUCAGAAUGAACGCUGGCGGCAGGCCUAACACAUGCAAGUCGAACGGAGUUACAUUGUAGCUCGCUAUGGUAUAACUUAGUGGCAGACGGGUGAGUAAUGUAUAGGAAUCUACCUAGUAGUACGGAAUAAUUGUUGGAAACGGCAACUAAUACCGUAUACGCCCUACGGGGGAAAAAUUUAUUGCUAUUAGAUGAGCCUAUAUUAGAUUAGUUAGUUGGUGAGGUAAAGGCUUACCAAGACAAUGAUCUAUAGCUGAUCUGAGAGGAUGAUCAGCCACACUGGAACUGAGAUACGGUCCAGCCUCCUACGGGAGGCAGCAGUGGGGAAUAUUGGACAAUGGACGAAAGCCUGAUCCAGCCAUGCCGCAUGGGUGAAGAAGGCCUUCGGGUUGUAAAGCUCUUUUAGUGAGGAAGAUAAUGACGGUACUCACAGAAGAAGUCCUGGCUAACUCCGUGCCAGCAGCCGCGGUAAUACGGAGAGGGCUAGCGUUAUUCGGAAUCAUUGGGCGUAAAGGGCGCGUAGGCGGGUUAGUAAGUUAAAAGUGAAAUCCCAAGGCUCAACCUUGGAACUGCUUUUAAAACUGCUAGUCUAGAGAUUGAAAGAGGAUAGAGGAAUUCCUAGUGUAGAGGUGAAAUUCGUAAAUAUUAGGAGGAACACCAGUGGCGAAAGCGUCUAUCUGGUUCAAAUCUGACGCUGAG
rnacentral:rRNA from 1 species